CUCAUGCUUUCACCAGGACUCCUGCUGAUGUGGGGCGCUAGAUAACAAAUUCUUCGUCAACAAAUUUACUUCCUGUUCGCUCUCAGUGCAACUGCAGUAAAUUUUCUUGUGAUCCAAAGAAAUAGCUCCCUUUAAGCAACCACUAAUGGGCAGUUUAUAAUCAGCGACGAAGUGUGUGACAAAUAAUGUCCUUAAAUGGACUCAAGUUUCUAAAAUAAUGAUAUAUUUUCCGAAAAAGUAACAAAGUUUGAUUCACAAGAUGAACAAAGGACGAGCGGUGAGUUUAGUGCUGCUGCUGGGGACGACGCUGGCAGCGGCUCGUGUACAGAUUCAGGAAGGCAGGUACAGCGGGCUGAGGGUGGCCGUGGCUCCUGAUGCAGAGGAACCUUUAGAUGGCCAGCAGUUCAUUUCUGAUGUCAAGACCUUCAUAAGGGCUGGCUCAGAGGCCCUGAACUUCGCUAUGGACAAUAGAGUCUCAUUCCAUGACUUCACACUCAUCAUACCGAGGACUUGGAACGCCU